rnacentral:rRNA from 1 species
UACGUAGGGACCAAGCGUUGUUCGGAUUUACUGGGCGUAAAGGGCGCGUAGGCGGCAAUUCAAGUCAUCUGUGAAAGUCUCCGGGCCUUAACUCGGAAUGGUCAAGGUGAUACUGCUUUGCUAGAGUGCAGAAGGGCAAUCGGAAUUCGUUGGUGUAGCGGUGAAAUGCGUAGAUAUCAAGAGGAACACCUGAGGUGAAGACGGGUUGCUGGGCUGACACUGACGCUGAGGCGCGAAAGCCAGGGAGCAAACGGG